rnacentral:rRNA from 1 species
UACGGGGGGGGCAAGCGUUGUUCGGAAUUACUGGGCGUAAAGUGUGCGCAGGUGGCCGCGCAAGUCGAGUGUGAAAUCCCCGAGCUUAACUUGGGAAUUGCGCUCGAAACUACGUGGCUCGAGUGUGGCAGAGGAAGGUGGAAUUCCACGUGUAGCGGUGAAAUGCGUAGAGAUGUGGAGGAACACCGAUGGCGAAGGCAGCCUUCUGGGCCAACACUGACGCUCAUGCACGAAAGCGUGGGGAGCAAACAGG